UUGUGCAUACAACAUUUUGCUCCAAGAUGAGAGACAAAGACAAGUUUCCUCACCAUCCCAAUUUCGUCAUGAUUCCAGUGCUUUCAAUACUCACUUCAGCAGCAAAUCCCCUAUCACAAAAUUUCCUCCCACAGCUGCAUAUCCUAAGCAAUUCAGUCAAAGACUCAACUUUGAUCUCAACAAGACAAACUUAGUGUGUAGGUAUUGUAAGAAACCUGGACACCUGAUUGACAAGUGUUACAAACUUCAUGGAUUUCCAUCAGACUUCAAAUUCACAAAAGGAUUUCCAUCAGACUUCAAAUUCACAAAAGGAAGGAGGAGUGCAGCACAUGUUGAAGUGCAGGGGUGUCUAAACCUUGCUGGACUAUAAACUUCAUGAAUUUCCAUCAAACUUCAAAUUCACAAAAGGAAGGAGGAGUGCAACACAUGUUGAAGUGCAGGGGUGUCUAAACCCUGCUGGAACUCAGAACAGUGCUGAAAAUGCUCAGGAGGCCUCUGAAUCAUAGUCUCUAAUACCUGGUUUAACCAAGGAUCAAUACUCACAGCUUAUGUUGCUGCUCCAACAGACACAAAUUUCAGAGUCUCAGCAGCACUCCAGCCUUAUGGCAUCUGCCAACGUUGCUGGUAAUUUUUCUCCAUCCAGUCAUUUAAAGAAUGUGUCUUAUGGGGCUUGCAUGUUAACUAAAAUAAGUGAAUGCAUUUGGAUUAUAGACUCUGGUGCCACUGAUCACAUGACCUCUAAUAAAGACCUUAUGUUUGAUAUUAAGCCUUUAGUAAUACCAUAUCUAGUUACCUUGCCCAAUGGUUAUAAGGUUAAGGUAACAUGCACUGGAUCCAUACAAUUCCUUUGUUUCACUCUACAUCAUGCCCUUUAUAUUCCCAGCUUUCACUACAAUCUCAUCUCUGUGUCCAAACUUGUGUGCCAGUUAAAUGUUAUUGUCCUAUUUACUAAAUUCUCUUGCUAAUACAUGCCCCUUCUCUGAAGAGGCCACUGGAAAUUGGUAAAUUGGAUGAUGGUCUCUACAGGCUAGUGCAAUCUUCUUCUCUUCAAUCUCUUGAUCCUUGUAAAUACCAUUCUCCAUUAACUGUUCAUUUUGUUUCUUCCUAUCAUUGUACAUACCAUUCUGAAUUGAAUAAAAUGGAGAUGUUAUGGCAUAAUAGACUAGGGCACAUACCUUUUGUUAGAAUGAAAGACAUGUCCUAUAUACCAUGUAAAUUUUCAACAAAGCAGCCUUUCCUUUGUACUAUAUGCCCUUUGGCCAGGCAACCUAGAUUACCCUUUCUUGAAAGUUCCAUUAAAACAACACAUGUUUUUCAACUCAUCCAUGUUGAUACAUGGGGUCCCUAUGCCACUCCUACUCAUAAUGGUUGUAGAUAUUUUCUAACAAUAGUUGAUGAUUUUACCAGAGCUACUUGGACCCACCUUAUGGGCUCCAAGAGCAAUGCCUUUCCCCUUAUCAAAGCCUUCACUGCCAUGAUUAAAACUCAAUUCUAGCCUGUGGUGCAAACCAUUAGGAGUGAUAAUGCCUUUGAACUUGGCUCUAGUAGCUGUGGCAGCAACUUCUUUGCUGAAAAUGGCAUAAUGCAUCAAACUUCUUGCUCUCACACACCACAACAAAAUGGUGUAGUUAAGAGAAAGCAUAGAU
rnacentral:lncRNA from 1 species